AUGCACCAUGCAUGCCCUGGCCACGCCAACAGCUUCAGCUAUGUCAACGACAUCGUUCUCGCCAUCAACCAACUCCUCGCCCGCUUCUGGCGCGUGCUGCACAUGGACAUCGACGCGCACCAUGGGGACACAGCCCAACCUUGGUGCUCAUGUUGCCGCUGGCCAGGGUGUGGACGCGGGCACUGCCGCCGAUAG
rnacentral:rRNA from 1 species